AUGUUUUAGUUAAAUCGGUCUUACACUUUAUAUUUUCAGAACUAGCGUAAUUACGAGUAAAGAAAUGCUAUCAAACUAAAUUUCUAGUGCUUUUGUCUUGGCGUGGCAGUUAAAGAGUUAAUUAUAUUUAACACGUAAAGGUGAUGCAAAGUCAUCUGGUUUAAACAGUGAUUUAACAUCGGAGUACAGGAGAACAGUUUCCCUGACGCGGAGGGAUUCCCUCUUGCCCUCCUCCCCUUGCUUUCCUCACAAGAGGCCACAGCGUGUCUCUGCUGCCCUGUCAUCGUCAUCUGGUGACAGGGGCUCCGAUAGAUAGACGCAGUCUGUUCAGCUACAAAUCUGCAGCGCAAGUAAUGUCAGGACCGCGGCACAGUAUGAGGAGGAUUAUGACCGAUCUGACUUUGCCAUCAGCGCGUUUGGGACCCACACGGUGAGCAAUAUCAACACUGUCCUGAAGAGCAUCUGGAACGACCUUUCCUAAUAUGCCGAGAGACACAUUUCGCACAUCUUCUCCAUGUUUUCGCGAACAUCGUGUAGCUUUAGACAGCAGCUCCACCUGUAGCGCUUACAGUCUUGUAGACUUGCGUUCAGCGAGAUGUUUCCACAUGAUGAAGAGCCUCUCUGCGCUCACCGACAUCCAGAAGAAGCUGUUGCACCGUCGCUGACAAACUUUUCAUUUGCCUGGAGGCCGUUUCUGGACAACCUCGUUGUUAAAGUUCAAACAAUAGUCAAAUCAUCGUGAUUCCGAAUCACAUUGUAAAUUCAGUGCAGAGCUACAGGCCGAUGCAGAGUCCUUCAAUUAAUCAGCCGUGUUGGACGCGUCAAAAACAAUCAUGCCAGUCCUUCCGUGAUUACCUUCCCUCUUUUCCCCCAUGCAGAGAUGUCAAAAGAGUUGUAUAAGGUUCACGCAGGUUUUUAUAAUGUCAUCGCCAGCCUUAAACAGUAGGUUAAGAGACCACUUCAUCUUUUAUACCCUGAAGAAUAAACGCGAAUACCUCUACCUACAUGGCCCCCAUCUUUGGUCUCGUCCUACGCUACGUCAUGAAUAGAACGCGUUCUGCGCCGCGAGUGUCAGAAUCCACCUGACGCAUCACAGAGCAGACGUGUAUUGAGAAGCUCCGCAUUUCAUACUCAAACAAGGCGAAAAAUCCUAAAUUAACUGCAGUAAACUUAUUUAUACACCCUAGAGAGCGUUAUUUACUGAAAAUAAAUGGAACAAAGUAUGUCUAAUGUUCCAGGUCCUUCGGGACAAAGAAGACAGCCGUCUACACUGGGAAUAGGUCCAUCUCCUGGUUCUGUGCAAGAAAAGUAUGACCUGAAGGAACUUGUGGGAAAGGGCCAUCACGGCGAGAUCUAUCGUGCUAUUAGAAAAGCCGACGGACAACAGUUUGCCAUCAAGUCAACUACUACAGAACUUGACAACGAAGUG